CGAUGAUUAAGGACAAGUCAUCUGACAAUGUGUGGGAGAAUGUGUCAAGGAAGCUCAUGAAGAGGCUCUCUAACGUGAAAAGUCCUGUGAAAUCCAAGGGUCCACCUGUUAAAGUACAACGUCGAAAUGAAGAUGCUGAUGACAGUAGUGAUUGGGACUCCAGUGCAUCAACUGUCAUCUUGGAAAGAUCACCAGCCAGUACAAGCACCCCAAAACGACUGAGGGACAACAAUGAUGAACCAUCCACAGGUUCAGGAGACUUAUUGGACAGUGAAAAAAGCCAGGCAAGACACUAUCGUACCCUCCAGGAUAUGUACAAGUCUAAGAAGCCGAACAAAGCUGCGGUUUCUCAUCUUCUUGAUUUGGAAUUCCAGUCCCGUAGACAAUUAAU